AUUUGCCUAUUGAACUUAAGCUAAUCAACUUAAAGCAGUUUGCUGGUUGAAAGAUGUAAAAAGAAAAAAAAAAAAUUCCCCAGUAGGACUCUAGGCAAGAAAUAUUGAGAAGAAUACUAAUAAUUUGUUAGGUUCCUUAUUUUCUUCAGAGGAAAAACCCCUACCCAAUGAGCAGUACUUGUUCUUUGAACGAAUCUCUGUGUCUUUCUAAAAAAAAAAUGCAACUCUGGUAAGUGAUCCAUUUUACUGACAAAUUAAUUUUUGCCUUCUGAACUGUCUGUAAGAAAAGUAUACUGAAGAUACCAGGAUCCUUGAAACGAGAAUGAAAGAGGCCGUAUAUAAGAUGACAAAGUACAAAUAUAAUGCUGGCAUUUUUUUCACCAAAAUUAACAAAAGAUUUAGUUCUGUUUUUGUUCUAAGGGUUUAGUAUGAUCAUCAGUAAGUAUUCAUGAGGGAAAAAAUGUCUGCAUCCAUAAAAAUAAAAUUGGCUUAAUUUUAGUGAUGAAAGUCCCUGGAAUAACUGUGCUGUGACUGUUAGCCGGAUAGAUGACAGGCCAAUUUUAUGCUUUUUAAUGAUGUUAUUUAAUGAGCAAAAUGAGAGUUUUUAUCAGAUGUUAGAUAAAGUUCUUAUGUCCUUAAAUGGGGAUGUUUGCAUGCAAAUUUUUGUCUGAAAUUUAUAACAGGUUGCAGGCAUAAUAUAACUAUUUGGUUUUUGAAAUUUCUCA
rnacentral:lncRNA from 1 species